AUGUUCUCUGUAGCUUUGCUACUGCUACUGGUUUCUGGAUCCUGUGUAAAGUGUGAGCAGUUGACACAGCCAGGCUCUGAGACUGUGCAGCCAGGUCACAAUCUGACCAUCACCUGUCAGGUCUCUUAUUCUGUGGGCAACUGGUACACAGCUUGGAUCAGACAGCCUGCAGGGAAAGAACUGGAGUGGAUUGGGAUGCAAUUUACUGGGGGCUUUCUCUACAAAGAUUUAAAGUUCCCCAUUGACUUAGACACAUCAAGCAACACAGUGACUCUUAAUGGACAGAGCAUGCAGCCUGAAGACACUGCUGUGUAUUACUGUGCCAGAUACCACAGUAACACAAAACACGAGUAA